GAUAGUUAUUCCACCGAAAAGCUUACAAACCCUAAUCCUAUCUCAAUCUUCUAUCGCUCUCUCUCUCUGCAUCCACUCUCUAGAAACCAAAAAUGUCUCACUUCGGCAGGUCUGGCCCUCCGGAUAUCUCUGACACCUACUCUCUCCUUGUCCUCAACAUCACCUUCCGUACUACUGCUGAUGAUUUGUUUCCGCUUUUUGACAAGUACGGGAAGGUAGUUGACAUCUUCAUCCCCAGAGAUCGAAGGACUGGUGACUCUCGUGGCUUUGCAUUUGUGCGCUACAAGUAUGCGGAUGAGGCACAAAAGGCAGUGGAUAGGCUAGAUGGAAGAGUUGUUGAUGGGCGUGAGAUAACAGUUCAGUUUGCAAAAUAUGGACCCAAUGCCGAGAGGAUUCAUAAAGGAAGGAUUGUCGAAUCUGUUCCAAGGUCAAGGCACAGAUCACGGAGCCGUAGUCCCCGAAGAAGGUACCGAGAUGACUAUAAAGAUAAAGACCAUAAGAAGAGAAGUCGUAGCAGGAGUUUGGACAGGUAUGAGCGUGACAAGAAUCGUGGAAGGGACAGAGACUAUCGUCGUCGGAGCAGGAGUCGCAGUGCCAGUCCUGAUUACUCUAGAGGACGGGGUAGAGGACGUUAUGAUGAUGAGCGGAGGAGUGGCAGUCGAUCAGCGGAUAGUGCAUCCCCUGUUAGACGUAGUCCAAGCCCUCAAAGGAGUUCUUCCCCCCGCAAGAAUUCUCCCCCUAAGGCUGAAAGCCCGGAUAGACGCAGUCGUGAUGAUCGUUCCCCAACUCCACGAAGUGCCUCGCCUAGAGGUCGACAUGCCGCCUCUCGUAGCCCAUCCCCACGAAAUUCAGAUGUUGAUGAAUGAACUUGCGGGUUGCAUGGGAAAUUUUAUGGAGACAUGACUAGUGCAUUUCUCAUGGCCAUGUUACUAAUGUUGAAGACCAAUGAGCAUCAUGAGUGUUCUAGUCAGAAUUUUUAUGAGCUAGUUUUGCUGUUCCCUGGAAGAUUCCUAUGGGGGCUGAUGUCCAGAAUGUUGAAGUUGUGGCUCUUGUGGCUGUUGAUGCUGUAUGUAAAAUGUAGAUGGAUGAUCGUGAUAGUGGUAACUCAAAAUUAUCUAAUGAUUGGUAAGAAAUGAAGUCACCUUGGUUUUUGAAGCACUUUGUGUCAUCCAGGUGUCUGAUGUGGACCUGAUUUUCCUGUGGCAUUUGUUUUACUUUGGGAAAAUGUUCCUCAUUUGGGAUAGUAGUUGCUGUGGUGGUUUAGAAGGUCGACACAAGAUGAACGUGUUUACCUGUAGCUGAUGCUGCACAUGAAAUGGGACCUGUUACACAGUAGUUCUUUUGCUGAUACUAAAAUCAAACAUAAUAUGCUGCACUUAAUUGUACAUGGUAACAUGUUUUGGUUUAAUUAUUUGUUUGGGGCAUUCAUUAGAGUUUUACCAUGUUUAGCAUGUGAAGUUUGACUCAUGUUGCUUAAUGUAGCAAGUAGCAUACGAGUCCGUGAUGGUAGCUGUGAAGUGGCAGCUGAUGCCUGUUCUGUUGUUUCAUAUUCAUGGGUUCGAGGGUAACUUAUGCGAGUACUAAUGAAUAAACCAUCUGUAGCGGGCUGUUGCUGCCCUUGUUGAUGGGAUCGGGUCGGUAAUGAUACUAGCAGUUUUGAUAUUGAUGAUGGCUGCCUAUGUGUGUUGCUGGCUUGGGAUCAAUUCCAAAAGACCUGCUUUGACUUGUAAGCUUGCCUAAUGUCAUGUGCAGACAAAUAUCUAUUAUACUGCCGUAGGUUGUCCUUAAAAUUUUCUUUGCAAGUUGCUGAAGUUGUUUCUAAUGCCCGUGAUUAAAUGAUUGUGCUUUGCUUAUGUGGUGCAUACACCAAGUUGCUUGAUAUUGCUACUUCUUUGUGUUCUUGUCAGCUGCAAGUGACUAAAGCUUAUGUGUUCAUUGCACUAGGCAUGAGUAAUGUUGGGAAAAUAAUUUUAUAAUGAUUCAACUAGAAUUCUAAUGCUAAAUUUGAUAUAUUGUGUUCCCAUCUUGUAAAAGCUGAUUUGUUCUUUUCCUCUGCGAUAUUAAACUUAAAUUACUGCUUGAUGGGGCUGGUUAAGGGAAAAUCUAACCGUCAGACAAUUCAGGACAAUGCCUCGGCAGUUGGCUAUCGCCACAUCUCUCUCUCUCUCUUUUUUUUUUUUCUCCCUUUCCUCCUUGCUCUCCAGCUAUAUGUUACUGUUUUUGUGGAUUGAACUGGAUAAUGUAUUUCCUUGAUGGUGUUCGCUGGUUUGUUUUUUCAUGUGAAUUUUGUUGGGUUUCUUAUUAAUGUGGUAGUCAGGAAUUUUUUAUUUUAUUUUAUUUUUUGAUUCAGUAGGUAUCUUGUUUACUGGUUUAAGGAUUCUCCAUGUAACUUCUCAUUAUUCUAUAUUAAAAUUUUGCUGUUUAUUGCACUGCA